ACACCUUUGUGGUUCGUUUGAUACAGGCAGAGCUGUUUAGAGAGCGCGAUCCUAACCGGGAUAAAGAGACUCAAGAGAUUGGACACUUGUGUGCAGUCCAAAAGGGAUGGCACAGGGAGCUGAGCCCAGGACUUGGAGCUGCUUAACAGCGAUGAAGCAGCUACUUGAAAAAUCGAAGAAUUUACAAGGUAAAAUAAUGUUGUACAUCAAAAAGCCAGCUGGACCUUAAAUCUGUUUUACAUUUGAUCCUAUUGUAUUAUUUUGCCCUGCAUUUCACUAAAUACAAAUGUUUGGAAAUGAAGUUGGUUAAAAGAUGGCAAAAAUCUGUAGCAAACUUUGCAACUAAAUAUUUUACCUUUAUU